AGUGAACGCUGGCGGUAGGCCUAACACAUGCAAGUCGAACGGCAGCACAGUAAGAGCUUGCUCUUACGGGUGGCGAGUGGCGGACGGGUGAGGAAUACAUCGGAAUCUACUUUUUCGUGGGGGAUAACGUAGGGAAACUUACGCUAAUACCGCAUACGACCUACGGGUGAAAGCAGGGGAUCUUCGGACCUUGCGCGAUUGAAUGAGCCGAUGUCGGAUUAGCUAGUUGGCGGGGUAAAGGCCCACCAAGGCGACGAUCCGUAGCUGGUCUGAGAGGAUGAUCAGCCACACUGGAACUGAGACACAGUCCAGACUCCUACGGGGGGCAGCAGUGGGGAAUAUUGGACAAUGGGCGCAAGCCUGAUCCAGCCAUACCGCGUGGGUGAAGAAGGCCUUCGGGUUGUAAAGCCCUUUUGUUGGGAAAGAAAAGCAGCAGGUUAAUACCCCGCUGUUCUGACGGUACCCAAAGAAUAAGCACCGGCUAACUUCGUG
rnacentral:rRNA from 1 species